UUUCCGCUGUUUCUUUUUUCUACUACCAAAGCCCUGAAAAACUUCCUCAGUUCCCCCAAAACUCCUAUGUGGUUAGGACCAUUUCACAUGGAUACCUAAUUUAAUGAUGUAAUUGUUAUAAGUGCUCUUUGGGGAACUAAUGGACCUGAGCGAAGUUCCCAUUCCGGCAUUCUCUUGCAUUCGUAUGACAGUGGGUGCUACACGGCAGAUGAUUUUUCACCAUCUACCAUAAUGUGGAUGAACAAACAAUUUGUAUUUUAUCUUCUGCUUUUGUCAGCUUUUAUGAGCAAGACGAUAUAUGGACAAAGAAAGAAAGGAUCAAAGUCCAAUUUACUUGCAAGAAGAAAUCAUCUCCAGGAUUCCACUUGCUUCAUAGAUCUUAUUUUCAUCGUGGACAGCUCUGAAAGUUCUAAAAUUUUUCUCUUUGACAAACAGAAAGAUUUUGUGGAUAGCUUGAGUGAUAAGCUUUUCCAAUUGACCCCAGUUGGCUCCUUGAAAUAUGACAUCAAACUGGCAGCCCUUCAGUUUAGCAGCUCUGUCCAAAUUGAUCCACCUUUCUCCUCGUGGAAGGAUCUACACACUUUUAAACAGAGGGUGAAGUCUAUGAAUUUCAUUGGGCAAGGUACUUUCUCUUACUAUGCCAUUGCCAAUGCCACGAGGCUCCUUAAGAGAGAAGGGCGUAAAGACAGUGUGAAAGUGGCUUUGCUGAUGACUGAUGGCAUUGACCAUCCGAAGAAUCCAGAUGUUCAGAGUAUUUCUGAAGAUGCCCGAAAUGCAGGAAUAAUAUUUAUCACCAUUGGACUUUCUACUGUGGUCAAUGAAACCAAGCUUCAUUUGAUAUCUGGGAAUUCACCUGGUGAACCUAUUCUACUGUUGAAUGAUUCAACCCUGGUAGAUAAAAUUCAGAAUCGCCUGGAUACCUUAUUUGAAAAGAAGUGUGAACGCAAGAUUUGUGAAUGUGAGAAGGGGGAUCCAGGCGAUCCAGGGCCUCCUGGUACACAUGGAAACCCAGGUAUCAAAGGUGAGCGAGGACCAAAAGGAAACCCGGGUGAUGCUCAAAAAGGGGAACCUGGAGAAAGAGGCCCAGGGGGAAUCCCUGGGUACAAGGGUGAGAAGGGUGAACUCGGAGAAUGUGGCAAACCAGGAGUUAAAGGUGACAAAGGAUCUCCAGGGCCAUAUGGACCAAAGGGUCCCAGAGGACUUCAGGGCGUUACUGGACCUCCAGGGGAUCCAGGCCCAAGGGGGUUUCAAGGCAACAAGGGGGAGCCUGGUCCUCCUGGUCCUUAUGGUCCUCCAGGAGCCCCUGGUAUUGGUCAGCAAGGUAUUAAGGGGGAAAGAGGCCAGGAAGGAAGAACAGGGGCUCCAGGACCGAUUGGUGUUGGUGAGCCAGGCCAGACAGGUCCCCGUGGUCCUGAGGGAGCACCAGGAGAGAGGGGCUUACCAGGAGAAGGAUUUCCAGGGCCAAAGGGUGAAAAAGGUUCUGAAGGACCAGUUGGCCCACAAGGAUUACAAGGCCCAUCAAUCAAAGGGGACAAGGGGGAUCUGGGACCUGUAGGACCCCAAGGACCAAUGGGCAUCCCUGGAAUUGGCAGUCAAGGGGAACAGGGAAUCCAAGGUCCUAUUGGUCCACCUGGUCCACAAGGGCCCCCAGGACAAGGCUUACCUGGUCCCAAGGGAGAAGUAGGCCAGAUAGGACCUACAGGUCCUAGAGGACCAGUGGGAGUUGGAGUACAAGGUCCAAAGGGGGAGCCAGGCUCAACAGGACUCCCAGGACAGCCAGGAGUACCAGGAGAAGAUGGAGCAGCAGGCAAGAAGGGAGAAGCAGGGCUUCCAGGAGCAAGAGGCCCUGAAGGACCACCUGGAAAAGGACAACCUGGUCUCAAGGGGGAUGAAGGAAAGAAAGGGAGCAAAGGAAAUCAAGGACAGAGGGGAUUUCCUGGGCCAGAAGGACCGAAGGGUGAUCCAGGAAUUAUGGGCCCUUUUGGAAUGCCUGGAGCAUCAAUUCCUGGACCACCUGGGCCAAAGGGAGAUAGAGGAGGACCUGGGAUGCCUGGAUUGAAAGGAGAACCUGGAAUUGCUAUCCGAGGACCAAAGGGUGCCCAAGGCCCUCAGGGACCAGUGGGUGCUCCAGGACUCAAAGGCGACGGCUAUCCUGGUGUGGCUGUAAGUGUGGACCUUGCUUUAUUACCACCCCCCUUCUUUUCCUCUUUUCCUUCUUCCUUCCUCCCCUUCCCUUCCUUUCAUCCCUUCCUCCCUUUCUCUCUCCCUUCCUCCCUUCUUUUAUCUUUUUCUCUCUUCCUCUCUUUCUUUUCUUUCUUCUCCCUCCCUUCCUUCCUUUCUCUCUCUCCUUUCCUUCCUUUUCUUUUCUCUCUCUCUUUUUCUUCCUGCACGCAAGAUUUCUCCAAGGUUGAUCUCUUUCCCUUACUGCCAUCUCAGGGCCCACGAGGAUUACCAGGACCUCCUGGACCAAUGGGUUUACGUGGAGUUGGAGACACUGGAGCCAAGGGAGAGCCUGGUGUCAGAGGCCUUCCAGGCCCUUCUGGGCCUCGGGGUAUAGGAAUUCAAGGGCCAAAGGGUGAUACUGGGCAGAAAGGCUUGCCUGGCCCUCCUGGCCCCCCUGGCUAUGGAUUACAAGGAAUCAAAGGGGAGCAAGGACCUCGAGGCUUUCCAGGGUCAAAGGGCAUGACAGGCCUUGGCCUCCCUGGCCAGAAGGGAGAGCAUGGAGAACGGGGCGAUGUGGGAAAGAAAGGUGAUAAAGGGGAAAUUGGAGAUCCCGGAUCUCAAGGAAAACAGGCAAGAAGUGAUUUUUAA
rnacentral:lncRNA from 1 species